rnacentral:rRNA from 1 species
GAUGAACGCUAGCGGCAGGCCUAAUACAUGCAAGUCGAACGGGAUUGCGGUAGUAGCUUGCUACUACUGCAUGAGAGUGGCGCACGGGUGCGUAACGCGUGAGCAACCUACCCAUAUCAGGGGGAUAGCCCGGCGAAAGUCGGAUUAACACCGCAUAACAUCAACAGUUCGCAUGUUCAGUUGAUUAAAUAUUUAUAGGAUAUGGAUGGGCUCGCGUGACAUUAGCUAGUUGGUAGGGUAACGGCUUACCAAGGCAACGAUGUCUAGGGGCUCUGAGAGGCGAAGCCCCCAGACUGGUACCGAGACCCGGACCAGACUCCGACGGGAGGGAGCAGUAGGGAAGACUGGUCAAUGGGCGCAAGCCUAAACAAGCCAUGCCACGUGCAGAGGGACUGCCCUAUGGAUUGUAAACUGCUUUUAUCAGAGAAUUAACCCCUUUACGGGUAGAGGGUUGAAGGUACCUGAAGAAAAAGGACCGGCUAACUACGUG